CCCUGGGUGGUGCAAAUGGUUACUGCACUUGGCUGCUAACCAAGAAGUUGGUGGUUCGAGUCCACCCAGAGGUA
rnacentral:tRNA from 1 species